rfam:Triticum aestivum genome assembly, contig: Triticum_aestivum_CS42_TGACv1_scaffold_622223_7DS
AAAGUACUCCCUCCGUCCCAAAAAACUUGUCCCUCAAAUAGAUAUAUCUAGCACUAAUUUAGUGUUAGAUACAUCCAUUUGAGAGACAAGCUUGGGACAAGUUUUAUCGAAUGGAGGAAGUAACAA